GAGCAAAUGGCUGAGCUGGUGCUGGGCAGCCAGCCGAAGUCAACACCUCAUGUAGGAAAUUAAGGAUGGAGCAAUCAUUCAAUCAUGAACCCUACCUGGAUCCCUGAUGGUGUGAAGGAGGUGCAGGGUCCUUGGGAGGCAAGUGAGAGGCCAGCAUUGUCAGCAGCUAGAUAUCUAGGUCCUACAUAGGAAGAUCUAUGAUACCUGCAUGCUUUGAAAUGGCUCAUCCCAAUGAGGAAAGGAUAACGUUUCCUGCAUAUCUGGCCGUAAAUGCUGGACAGCAUCCCACUCCAGAGCUGGGCAUGACAAAAAGAAAAGCAAUUCCUGUUUGGUGCAGAGUCCAGGCGUGAGAGCUGAAUGAACACAAGUAAAGCACUGCUAAACCAGUUUGUGAGUUAUGGCUAAUUGGACGAAGGGGUUCUUCUCAGGUGAGCUGUAGUUAAACAUCUGGAGUUGACUGCCAUGCAGAUCUGAGUUUCACUGAUCC
rnacentral:lncRNA from 1 species